rnacentral:sRNA from 1 species
CGUUGAUGCCCACUAGGGCGUUUCCUCCCUUGACUAGGCCCGGCCACCAAUCUUUGGGGCCGGGCCCCUUUCAAAAUUUUG